UACGUAGGGGGCGAGCGUUGUCCGGAUUUAUUGGGCGUAAAACGCUUGUAGGUGGCUACGUCAAGUCGGACGUGAAAUCUCCCGGCUUAACUGGGAGGGGUCGCUCGAUACUGGCGAGCUCGAGGCAGGUAGGGGGAAGCGGAAUUCCCGGUGUAGUGGUGGAAUGCGUAGAUAUCAGGAAGAACACCCGUGGCGAAGGCGGCUCUCUGGGACGGUACGGACGCUGAGACGCGAAAGCGUGGGGAGCGAACAGG
rnacentral:rRNA from 1 species